GGGUUGUGAGGUUAAGCGACUAAGCGUACACGGUGGAUGCCCUGGCAGUCAGAGGCGAUGAAGGACGUGCUAAUCUGCGAUAAGCGUCGGUAAGGUGAUAUGAACCGUUAUAACCGGCGAUUUCCGAAUGGGGAAACCCAGUGUGUUUCGACACACUAUCAUUAACUGAAUCCAUAGGUUAAUGAGGCGAACCGGGGGAACUGAAACAUCUAAGUACCCCGAGGAAAAGAAAUCAACCGAGAUUCCCCCAGUAGCGGCGAGCGAACGGGGAGCAGCCCAGAGCCUGAAUCAGUGUGUGUGUUAGUGGAAGCGUCUGGAAAGGCGCGCGAUACAGGGUGACAGCCCCGUACACAAAAAUGCACAUGCUGUGAGCUCGAUGAGUAGGGCGGGACACGUGGUAUCCUGUCUGAAUAUGGGGGGACCAUCCUCCAAGGCUAAAUACUCCUGACUGACCGAUAGUGAACCAGUACCGUGAGGGAAAGGCGAAAAGAACCCCGGCGAGGGGAGUGAAAAAGAACCUGAAACCGUGUACGUACAAGCAGUGGGAGCACGCUUAGGCGUGUGACUGCGUACCUUUUGUAUAAUGGGUCAGCGACUUAUAUUCUGUAGCAAGGUUAACCGAAUAGGGGAGCCGAAGGGAAACCGAGUCUUAACUGGGCGUUAAGUUGCAGGGUAUAGACCCGAAACCCGGUGAUCUAGCCAUGGGCAGGUUGAAGGUUGGGUAACACUAACUGGAGGACCGAACCGACUAAUGUUGAAAAAUUAGCGGAUGACUUGUGGCUGGGGGUGAAAGGCCAAUCAAACCGGGAGAUAGCUGGUUCUCCCCGAAAGCUAUUUAGGUAGCGCCUCGUGAAUUCAUCUCCGGGGGUAGAGCACUGUUUCGGCAAGGGGGUCAUCCCGACUUACCAACCCGAUGCAAACUGCGAAUACCGGAGAAUGUUAUCACGGGAGACACACGGCGGGUGCUAACGUCCGUCGUGAAGAGGGAAACAACCCAGACCGCCAGCUAAGGUCCCAAAGUCAUGGUUAAGUGGGAAACGAUGUGGGAAGGCCCAGACAGCCAGGAUGUUGGCUUAGAAGCAGCCAUCAUUUAAAGAAAGCGUAAUAGCUCACUGGUCGAGUCGGCCUGCGCGGAAGAUGUAACGGGGCUAAACCAUGCACCGAAGCUGCGGCAGCGACACUAUGUGUUGUUGGGUAGGGGAGCGUUCUGUAAGCCUGUGAAGGUGUGCUGUGAGGCAUGCUGGAGGUAUCAGAAGUGCGAAUGCUGACAUAAGUAACGAUAAAGCGGGUGAAAAGCCCGCUCGCCGGAAGACCAAGGGUUCCUGUCCAACGUUAAUCGGGGCAGGGUGAGUCGACCCCUAAGGCGAGGCCGAAAGGCGUAGUCGAUGGGAAACAGGUUAAUAUUCCUGUACUUGGUGUUACUGCGAAGGGGGGACGGAGAAGGCUAUGUUGGCCGGGCGACGGUUGUCCCGGUUUAAGCGUGUAGGCUGGUUUUCCAGGCAAAUCCGGAAAAUCAAGGCUGAGGCGUGAUGACGAGGCACUACGGUGCUGAAGCAACAAAUGCCCUGCUUCCAGGAAAAGCCUCUAAGCAUCAGGUAACAUCAAAUCGUACCCCAAACCGACACAGGUGGUCAGGUAGAGAAUACCAAGGCGCUUGAGAGAACUCGGGUGAAGGAACUAGGCAAAAUGGUGCCGUAACUUCGGGAGAAGGCACGCUGAUAUGUAGGUGAAGUCCCUCGCGGAUGGAGCUGAAAUCAGUCGAAGAUACCAGCUGGCUGCAACUGUUUAUUAAAAACACAGCACUGUGCAAACACGAAAGUGGACGUAUACGGUGUGACGCCUGCCCGGUGCCGGAAGGUUAAUUGAUGGGGUUAGCCGCAAGGCGAAGCUCUUGAUCGAAGCCCCGGUAAACGGCGGCCGUAACUAUAACGGUCCUAAGGUAGCGAAAUUCCUUGUCGGGUAAGUUCCGACCUGCACGAAUGGCGUAAUGAUGGCCAGGCUGUCUCCACCCGAGACUCAGUGAAAUUGAACUCGCUGUGAAGAUGCAGUGUACCCGCGGCAAGACGGAAAGACCCCGUGAACCUUUACUAUAGCUUGACACUGAACAUUGAGCCUUGAUGUGUAGGAUAGGUGGGAGGCUUAGAAGUGUGGACGCCAGUCUGCAUGGAGCCGACCUUGAAAUACCACCCUUUAAUGUUUGAUGUUCUAACGUUGACCCGUAAUCCGGGUUGCGGACAGUGUCUGGUGGGUAGUUUGACUGGGGCGGUCUCCUCCUAAAGAGUAACGGAGGAGCACGAAGGUUGGCUAAUCCUGGUCGGACAUCAGGAGGUUAGUGCAAUGGCAUAAGCCAGCUUGACUGCGAGCGUGACGGCGCGAGCAGGUGCGAAAGCAGGUCAUAGUGAUCCGGUGGUUCUGAAUGGAAGGGCCAUCGCUCAACGGAUAAAAGGUACUCCGGGGAUAACAGGCUGAUACCGCCCAAGAGUUCAUAUCGACGGCGGUGUUUGGCACCUCGAUGUCGGCUCAUCACAUCCUGGGGCUGAAGUAGGUCCCAAGGGUAUGGCUGUUCGCCAUUUAAAGUGGUACGCGAGCUGGGUUUAGAACGUCGUGAGACAGUUCGGUCCCUAUCUGCCGUGGGCGCUGGAGAACUGAGGGGGGCUGCUCCUAGUACGAGAGGACCGGAGUGGACGCAUCACUGGUGUUCGGGUUGUCAUGCCAAUGGCACUGCCCGGUAGCUAAAUGCGGAAGAGAUAAGUGCUGAAAGCAUCUAAGCACGAAACUUGCCCCGAGAUGAGUUCUCCCUGACUCCUUGAGAGUCCUGAAGGAACGUUGAAGACGACGACGUUGAUAGGCCGGGUGUGUAAGCGCAGCGAUGCGUUGAGCUAACCGGUACUAAUGAACCGUGAGGCUUAACCUUACAACGC
rnacentral:rRNA from 1 species